CGGACAUCCGGUGUAAUUUUGUUAGUUAAGGACAGCGCCUGCUGAAACUUGAAGGACGAUUAAUGCAAUUUACCCUAUUCUUUACAAAUGUUUAUUGCAUAAAGUUCAUUAGACAUCUUGUGCAUGUAAAUUAUAAUACUACUGCAUAUUCUAUGUAGUUGUUGCUUUAGAAAAUGUCAUAUUUAUGUGAAGGUGUUUUUUUUAUAUCUCAAACAUGUAUGUUCAGGAUUGGCUGCGUAUUAUAAUCACCCAUAAGGUUCACAAGGAUUUAAGCCGGAUUAAACGGUUCAAUGCUCACUAAAGAUUUGAAAAGGUCCUUGGUUGAUGUUCCAUUAUUCCCCAGUCUUGACUAAGUCAAAUGUUGCAGUUAAUAAUGAUUUACUCUAGAGAUGGAAAAUGAAAUAAAGGUUAGGAGAUCAUUGCUAAUAAUAAUGCACCAGGGAUGAGGUUGAGUACAUGAGAAAAAUGCGUGUUAUUGUUAGGAAAGCUUAAGACUGUUUAGACAAGAUGUAGACUGUAACCAAAACUUUAAAAGUGGGGCUUGGCUUUGACAUGUGGCAGAGGUGGGCUCCACAUGGCUGGGCGUGGCUUUUUUUGGGUGUGAGGUGGCGUGGCUUUUUUUGGGUCAAAUAUGCCCAGCCAGCCAUAUCAACUCUUGGAUGUGGAUUAAGCUAUAUUCAAAAAGUACAUUUGCAUAAGAGAUGUUAUGCAAGGAAAGUCAACAACAGUCAACGGAAGUCACCAGGAUUAACAGUAGUCAAUAUGCACAUGGAUGUUCUCUUCACAAAUUUUAUAAAUCAGUAUAUAGGAAAAGCAUCAAUGGUCAACAGGAUAUAUCUUGGACUUUGGUUCUUUGAAUAUGAGCAUAAAGCCCUUAGUCAUUGUACUUACUGGUCUCUUCAUUUUAAUGAGUAUAAAAAUAUAUAAGAUGCAUACAUUGGACUAAGAUUAUGCUAUGAAUUAGUGUCUCCUACCAUAUACGCAAUAUAUGUGAA